UUGCGGAUGGAGACCUACCUGUGCCGCUGGGGCCUCUGAUGAUGAGAACAAGUCAGGGCAGUAGCACCAGUUGCUCUACCACCUCCUGUACCACCUCCUGUGGUGGAAAGGGCCGCACAGGCAGCUGCAGCCUUUGGCCCAGCGGCAGCUCCUGCGGCUGCUGAAGCACCCGCUGCAGCAGGCUCCCUUGAUGAACUUCACCGAUGUAGGAGUUCAACUGCAAAAGAAAGCAUGGAACAACGCCAUGGAUCCGAAGAUUGGGGCAAGUGUGGCCAUUAAGAACCUGGCCACGUCCUUGUGGGGCUCGAACGUGCUCCUCACGAGGACCGUGACGGGAGUUCUGUCGAAUGCCAAUAAGGCCAAAGAAUCCAGGCCACCUUUGACACCCCAGAAGGUGGCAUUCUUAAGAGAGUGCCUCAUCAAAAACCUUUACGGA